UACGGGGGGUGCAAGCGUUGUCCGGAAUCAUUGGGCGUAAAGCGUGUGUAGGUGGAAAACUAAGUCUGGUGUGAAAGACUACGGCUCAACCGUAGAACGGCUCUGGAUACUGGUUUUCUUGAGUGAUAGAGGGGGUAGCGGAAUUUCUGGUGUAGUGGUGAAAUAUGUAGAUAUCAGAAAGAACACCGGUGGCGAAGGCGGCUACCUGGCUAUACACUGACACUGAGACACGAAAGCGUGGGGAGCAAACAGG
rnacentral:rRNA from 1 species